AUUGAACGCUGGCGGCAUGCCUUACACAUGCAGGUCGCAAGGCAGCAUGGAAGAGCUUGCUCUUCUGAUGGCGAGUGGCGAACGGGUGAGUAAAGCAUCGGAACGUACCGUGUAGUGGGGGAUAACGUAGCGAAAGCUACGCUAAUACCGCAUACGCACUUAGGUGGAAAGCAGGGGUACGCAAGACCUUGCGCCAUACAAGCGGCCGAUGUCAGAUUAGCUAGGUGGUAGGGUAAAGGCCUCACAAGGCGACGAUCUGUAGCGGGUCUGAGAGGAUGAUCCGCCACACUGGGACUGAGACACGGCCCAGACUCCUACGGGAGGCAGCAGUGGGGAAUUUUGGACAAUGGGCGAAAGCCUGAUCCAGCCAUGCCGCGUGAGUGAAGAAGGCCUUCGGGUUGUAAAGCUCUUUCGGCUGGGAAGAAAUCGCACAGGCUAAUACUCUGUGUGGAUGACGGUACCAGCACAAGAAGCACCGGCUAACUACGUGCCAGCAGCCGCGGUAA
rnacentral:rRNA from 1 species